AGCAGCCGUGGUAAUUCCAGCUCCAAUAGCGUAUAUUAAAGUUGCUGCAGUUAAAAAGCUCGUAGUUGAAUUUCGGGACCAUCAUGUCGGUCGUGCCUCGGUACGUACUGGCAUUGUUAGUUUCUACCUUCUGACGAACCAUGAUGUCAUUUAUUUGGUGUUGUGGGAAAUCAGGACUGUUACUUUGAAAAAAUUAGAGUGUUUAAAGCAGGCUCACGCUUGAAUACAUUAGCAUGGAAUAAUGAAAUAGGAUGUUUGAUUCUAUUUUGUUGGUUUCUAGGAUCGACGUAAUGAUUAAUAGGGAUAGUUGGGGCAUUAGUAUUCAAUUGUCAGAGGUGAAAUUCUUGGAUUUAUUGAAGACUAACUACUGCGAAAGCAUUUGCCAAGGAUGUUUUCAUUAAUCAAGAACGAAAGUUAGGAGAUCGAAGAUGAUCAGAUACCGUCGUAGUCUUAACCAUAAACUAUGCCGACUAGGGAUCGAAUGAUGUUAAUUUUUUAAUGACUCA
rnacentral:rRNA from 1 species